rnacentral:rRNA from 1 species
AAUCAACGCUGGCGGCGUGCCUCAGACAUGCAAGUCGAACGCGAAAUUCCGAGCAAUCGGGAAAGUAGAGUGGCGCCCGGGUGAGUAACACGUAGGUAAUCUACCUUCGGGUGGGGAAUAACGCAGGGAAACUUGCGCUAAUACCGCAUGAUGCAGCGGCACCACAUGGUGACAGUUGUUAAAGCGGGGGAUUUUCGGACCUCGCGCCUGAAGAGGAGCCUGCGGCAGAUUAGCUAGUUGGUAAGGUAACGGCUUACCAAGGCGACGAUCUGUAACCGGUCUAAGAGGACGGUCGGUCACACUGACACUGAAUAACGGGUCAGACUCCUACGGGAGGCAGCAGUCGGGAAUUUUGGGCAAUGGGCGAAAGCCUGACCCAGCAACGCCGCGUGAAGGAUGAAGUAUUUCGGUAUGUAAACUUCGAAAGAAUAGGAAGAAUUAAUGACGGUACUAUUUAUAAGGUCCGGCUAACUACGUGCCAGCCGCCGCAGUAAUAC